rnacentral:rRNA from 1 species
AGUGAACGCUGGCGGUAGGCCUAACACAUGCAAGUCGAACGGCAGCACAGUAAGAGCUUGCUCUUACGGGUGGCGAGUGGCGGACGGGUGAGGAAUACAUCGGAAUCUACUUUUUCGUGGGGGAUAACGUAGGGAAACUUACGCUAAUACCGCAUACGACCUACGGGUGAAAGCAGGGGAUCUUCGGACCUUGCGCGAUUGAAUGAGCCGAUGUCGGAUUAGCUAGUUGGCGGGGUAAAGGCCCACCAAGGCGACGAUCCGUAGCUGGUCUGAGAGGAUGAUCAGCCACACUGGAACUGAGACACGGUCCAGACCCCUACGGGAGGCAGCAGUGGGGAAUAUUGGACAAUGGGCGCAAGCCUAAUCCAGCCAUACCGCGUGGGUGAAGAAGGCCUUCGGGUUGUAAAGCCCUUUUGUUGGGAAAGAAAAGCAGCAGGUUAAUACCCCGCUGUUCUGACGGUACCCAAAGAAUAAGCACCGGCUAACUUCGUG